rnacentral:rRNA from 1 species
AAUCAACGCUGGCGGCGCGCCUAACACAUGCAAGUCGAACGAGAACGGCUUCAGCAAUGGGGCCUAGUACGGUGGCGAACGGGUGAGUAACACGUGGGUGAUCUACCCUCAAGUGGGGGAUAACCCGGGGAAACCUGGGCUAAUACCGCAUAAUAUCCGCAAGGAUCAAAGGAGUAAUUCGCUGGAGGAUGAGCCCGCGGCCGAUUAGCUAGUUGGCGGGGUAACGGCCCGCCAAGGCUCUGAUCGGUAGCCGGUCUGAGAGGACGCACGGCCACACUGGAACUGAAACACGGUCCAGACUCCUACGGGAGGCAGCAGUGGGGAAUCUUGCACAAUGGGGGAAACCCUGAUGCAGCGACGCCGCGUGGGUGAUGAAGCUCUUCGGAGUGUAAAGCCCUUUCGGCAGGGAAGAGUAAAGACGGUACCUGCAAAAGAAGCCCCGGCUAACUACGUGCCAGCAGCCGCGGUAAUAC